rfam:Salpingoeca sp. ATCC 50818 unplaced genomic scaffold supercont1.13, whole genome shotgun sequence.
AACGCUUCAGGGCAAUUUUUGCUCGGAUCAAGUGUAGUAAAUGUUUAGAUUAGUGUAAUAUCUAAUCGCCACUCUUCGGAGUGGCCGAUAUUACUCUACUAUUUGGGACUGGUGGUGCGGCGUCUGCUUGCAGCGCCCACCACAAGCAUGGCCCUGGUAUUGCACUACCUCCAGGAGCUGUGCACGGCAC